AUGCACGCUGGCGGCGUGCCUAAUACAUGCAAGUCGAACGAAACUUCUUUAUCACCGAGUGCUUGCACUCACCGAUAAAGAGUUGAGUGGCGAACGGGUGAGUAACACGUGGGCAACCUGCCCAAAAGAGGGGGAUAACACUUGGAAACAGGUGCUAAUACCGCAUAACCAUAGUUACCGCAUGGUAACUAUGUAAAAGGUGGCUAUACUACCGCUUUUGGAUGGGCCCGCGGCGCAUUAGCUAGUUGGUAGGGUAAAGGCUUACCAAGGCAAUGAUGCGUAGCCGAAUUGAGAGGUUGAUCGGCCACAUUGGGACUGAGACACGGCCCAAACUCCUACGGGAGGCAGCAGUAGGGAAUCUUCCACAAUGGGCGAAAGCCUGAUGGAGCAACGCCGCGUGGGUGAAGAAGGUCUUCGGAUCGUAAAACCCUGUUGUUAGAGAAGAAAGUGCGUGAGAGUAACUGUUCACGUUUCGACGGUAUCUAACCAGAAAGCCACGGCUAACUACGUG
rnacentral:rRNA from 1 species